CCUACGGGAGGCAGCAGUGAGGAAUAUUGGUCAAUGGGCGCGAGCCUGAACCAGCCAAGCAGCGUGAAGGAUGAAGGCCCUACGGGUGGUAAACUUCUUUUAUAAAGGAAUAAAGUGAGGCACGUGUGCCUUUUUGUAUGUACGUUAUGAAUAAGGAACGGCUAACUCCGUGCCAGCAGCCGCGGUAAUACGGAGGAUCCGAGCGUUAUCCGGAUUGAUUGGGUUUAAAGGGAGCGUAGAGGGGUUGUUAAGUCAGUUGUGAAAGGUUGCGGCUCAACCGUAAAAUUGCAAUUGAUACUGGCAGUCUUGCGUCCAGUUGCGGUCGGCGGAAUUCCUGGUGUAGCGGU
rnacentral:rRNA from 1 species